rnacentral:rRNA from 1 species
GACGAACGCUGGCGGCGUGCUUAACACAUGCAAGUCGAACGCUGAACCCGCUUCGGUGGGGGAUGAGUGGCGAACGGGUGAGUAACACGUGGGCAACCUGCCCCCGGCUCUGGGAUAACUCCAAGAAAUUGGGGCUAAUACCGGAUGUGACCGCUGGCCGCAUGGUCUGGUGGUGGAAAGGGUUUCCGGCUGGGGAUGGGCCCGCGGCCUAUCAGCUUGUUGGUGGGGUAGUGGCCUACCAAGGCGACGACGGGUAGCCGGCCUGAGAGGGUGACCGGCCACACUGGGACUGAGACACGGCAGCGACUCCUACGGGAGGCAGCAGUGGGGAAUCUUGCGCAAGGGGCGGAAGCCUGACGCAGCGAGGCCGCGUGGGGGAAGACGGCCUUCGGGUUGUAAACCUCUUUCAGCAGGGACGAAGCGCAAGUGACGGUAACUGAAGAAGAAGCCCCGGCCAACUACGUG